AACUCUCAACAACGGAUAUCUUGGCUCCUGUAACGAUGAAGAACGCAGCGAAAUGCGAUACGUAGUGUGAAUUGCAGAAUUCCGUGAACCAUCGAAUCUUUGAACGCAAAUUGCGCUCGAGGCCCUGGCCAAGAGCAUGUCUGCCUCAGCGUC
rnacentral:rRNA from 1 species